UACGUAGGGUGCGAGCGUUGCCCGGAUUUAUUGGGCGUAAAGGGCGCGCAGGCGGCCACGCGCGUCCGUUGUGAAAUCGCUCGGCUCAACUGGGCGAGGUCAGCGGAUACGGCGUGGCUGGAGCAAGCUAGGGGGCAAUGGAAUUCCCGGUGUAGUGGUGGAAUGCGUAGAUAUCGGGAGGAACACCAGUGGCGAAGGCGGUUGCCUGGGGCUUUGCUGACGCUGAGG
rnacentral:rRNA from 1 species